CCUACGGGAGGCAGCAGUGAGGAAUAUUGGUCAAUGGACGAGAGUCUGAACCAGCCAAGUAGCGUGAAGGAUGACUGCCCUAUGGGUUGUAAACUGCUUUUAUAUGGGAAUAAAACGUUCCACGUGUGGGAUUUUGUAUGUACCAUAUGAAUAAGGAUCGGCUAACUCCGUGCCAGCAGCCGCGGUAAUACGGAGGAUCCGAGCGUUAUCCGGAUUUAUUGGGUUUAAAGGGCGCGUAGGUGGAUUGUGAAGUCAGUUGUGAAAGUGUGGGGCUCAACCGUAGAAUUGCCGUGGAAACUGGCAGCCUUGAGUGCAGGAGAGGUGGGCGGAAUUCGUGGUGUAGCGGUGAAAUGCUUAGAUAUCACGAAGAACUCCGAUUGCGAAGGCAGUUCACUGGACUGCAACUGACGCUGAUGCUCGAAAGUGUGGGUAUCGAACAGGAUUAGAUACCCCAGUAGUC
rnacentral:rRNA from 1 species